GGCUGAAGACUUUGCCGGAUUAGCUGAGAGGUGGUGCAUGGCCGUCGUCAGUUCGUACUGUGAAGCAUCCUGUUAAGUCAGGCAACGAGCCGAGACCCACGCCCACAGUUGCCAGCGUACUCUCUGGAGUGACGGGUACACUGGUGGGGACCGCCGCUGCUAAAGCGGAGGAAGGAAUGGGCAACGGUAGGUCAGUAUGCCCCGAAUAUCCCGGGCUACACGCGAGCUACAAUGGUUGGUACAAUGGGUAUCUACCCCGAAAGGGGACGGGAAUCUCCUAAAACCAAUCUUAGUUCGGAUUGAGGGCUGCAACUCGCCCUCAUGAAGCUGGAAUCCGUAGUAAUCGCGUUUCAACAGAACGCGGUGAAUACGUCCCUGCUCCUU
rnacentral:rRNA from 1 species